GCAAUUUUGUCGAGUUUUCUGACAACAAAAAACAAUAAUCUGUGUAUAUAGAUAGUUCAAUUUCUCUUAUUAAAUGGUUAAAGAAAAUUCUUCAGCUUAUUAGUAGAUGCCCUAUGGCAUGCUAAUUUGAUUCUGAUAAUAGAAAAAAAAUGUUGUUUGUGAAUUAGUUUCUGUUUGAAAAGAAAAAAAAAUUGUAAAGCACUGGUUCUCUCGAUCAAUGUUGAAACAAUGCAAACUUAACCGAUCAAGGGUUUUAAAGAUCAGUUAUUACCUUGUCUGUUUGUCUUGUAUAGGGAUUAAUGUUUUGUAUUUGUGAGGCAGAUUUAUGGAAGACUGGUACAUUUUUGAGAAUUUUUCAUUUUAUAUGCACAUUUUGUGAUUUAUAGAUCUCCACUCUUGCUUAAAUACUUUUAUAUAUAAAAUACUCAAAUUCAUGUUCAUGCAAUUUAUUCUGAGGAGUAUAAAGAAAUAGCUUAUAUGAAUCAUUACUGUAAUGUUUCUUGGUUUUUUAUUAUUUACAGGUCUAGGUCAUACAAGAGCUGUCAAAAUGACAGUAAACCGGAUUCUUUAACAUUUAUUUGUGUUCUGGCAUUUAUCAAUAUUACAAGGACCAAAACUCCUAAUAGGUAAAAUUUAUGAUUAUCAAUAUCAAACUUGACUUCCAUGUUGUCAACAAUAACAACAUAUAAACUAGAUAGAAAAUGACCCUCUAGCAGGACAAACUGUGUGCCCUUAAUGCAUAAAGUAAGAAAAAAUUACUAAGUCCAUCUACCUAGGAUUUUGAAAAUAUCUAAAAAAAUGAAUGAAUUGUAUGGUUUUCAAAUGGACAGGCAAAAAUCAUUAUUGAACUUGACCUCCAUUUUGUUGUCAGUAACAACAUAUUAAAAUUUUAAAAGGUUUGGUUGAACGGUUCAUGAGUAAAUGCACGGACAACAUUUGGUUGCCGCCCGCCCGGCCGCCCACCGUACAUCCCCAAAUCAAUAACCGACAUUUUUGACACAAAAAUCCAGUUAAAAAUUGUAUGUUUAGUAAUAGGGCAAAUGCCAUACUCAACGGCACGUUCAUAUCUUCAAAUAAUCAAGGUCCAUAAAAAUUAGGCUGUUCAGUUGGAAAAAUAAUUCUCUUUUUUUGAUAGAUUAUGUCAUGAUCUGUUUGAACAUUUACAAUUCCUCAUUUAAGUAAUCAUAGCCAAAAUUGGUAUUAGUUGUGAUCUUAAGAGAUUCUGUUUAUUUUGGUAUAAAGUAUACUAUAUGCUGAGAUUUUAAAUCCAGAAUACUUGAUAAUGAGCAAAGUGUUAUAAGUGAUUUGAACAGUUGAUUUGAGUAUACUUAUUUUUGUAUAAUUUUUUUUUUUUUUUUAUCAAUACAUGACAAGCAAUGGCAGUUGUCCAUCAUUCCCAUUAUUGGUAUUCAUUUUUCAUUGACAGUGCUGUUGUUUAUAUAUAAGAUCAUGAAAUCCAUUGUUAUAUACAUGUAAUCAGUAUGACUAUAAUGUGGUAAGUGCAUGCUCUUUUAAGAAUUCCAUUUCCAUAUGUCAUUUGACUAAUAGAAUUAUGUAUAGAUACAUCCUUUACAUCAUAAUAGGUUAAUUUUGUAUAAGAAAAAAUAUAUAAAUUAUGAAUGCAGGGUUGUUUUAUAGUGCCUAAUACAUCAUGUAUAGUAAAACUUGUUCUAGAUGAAUUGUUACUUAUACAAUUAUGAAAGUCUAUUUGCUAAUAACAGAUUUGAUUCUGUUAUUACAAACUUUUAACACUGGUUCGUUCCUUUUCCUAAUAAUUUGUUUCUAAACAUGAAAAACUAAGCGGUUGCCAGUGCACAUUUUGAAAGUGAAAUAUAGCUGUUUAAGCAAUUUUCAUUGAAAAAUUACUAUUUAUAUCAAAAGUUUUUAGAUUUACAAAAGAUUAACUGUUAUCAAAAGAUUUGGAAAAUUUACAGCUUACACACAGAUAAAUUUGCUCUCUGUGUUCCUAUGCCUAUAAAGAUUUUUCCCUCUUAUUAAAGGGAAAUAACUUGUGCAAAUGGAUCUCUAGUAACAAAGUCAAUAAUAGAAUUGGCAAAUAGACUAUUGCAUAUACAUUGUACAUGUAUAUAUGACUACAACUUGAGUACAAGUGUUGUACAGUUUAAAGACAUAUGACAAAUUAAGAUAUGUGUAUAUAUUAAUGUUGUAGCUUUAAAAAAAGAGGUGAUUGUGAAUCUUUUGUUUAAAGGUUUAAAAUUGUUAUGUUUGUAUUUUAUUCUUAUUUUCAGUUAGAAGAAAAAGCUCCCUUUUUGAAAAAAAUCCUGUUGUUUUUAGAGUAAUUGUACUUUAACUUUCAAAUUUAAGGCAUUCUUUAGAUAACCUACACAGACUUUAGUAUGCUGGAAUGGUUGCCUUUUAAUCUAUAUUGUUGUUCAAUGUUGGAAUUGGUAAAAAUAUAUAUGCUUCCUUUUGAUUAUGAAAAAUUUCUAAUUUGUUAUUCCAAUGUAUUUUGCUGACAUUUGAUUUACUGCUUAUUUUCACAAAAAUUUCAGUAUGCAUAUGGAAUGCAAAUCUUUCACCCUUGCCAAAGCUACCUAUUAUUCAAAUGGUCAGACUUUUGAGUCACCCCCACCAAACCAUUAGUUUACUAGUAAAUUGUCAGUUUUAGUCCAUUUAGUAGCAUAUUAUGUAUAAAUGUAUUAAAUCAAAUGGCUGGUGUCCUUGAAAGAAGAAAACGAAGUAAAAAAUAAAUUUUAAAAAGAGAUUAGUUACAUGUUAUUAUAGGCUUUUUGGACACAAACACAUUUUUUCAUACUAUGUGUGCAUUUUAAAAAUAUGUACAAUUUACAUGCUUUUGAACCUGCUGUUAAGUUACAGGUGCUUUAUUUUUAAUCUAAGCAUGAGCAGGUGCUGUUUAUAUUACAAGCUACAUGAAGUAGAUACUCAGUUGGAAAGUAGAUGAUAUGUUGCAUAAUUAUGAGGGGCCUGAUGGGGGGGAGGGGGGUUCUCAUCACGAUUCACGAGUUGAUGUUUUGUCAAUCACGAAUCACAGAAAAUAAAUUUCCAUGAUCAAGGAUCAAGAAAAUAUAAAAAAAAAAAAUCUGUAGAAAAACGGAUCAUGAAGAAUGCAAAUAACCCAUUAGGCCCCUCAAUUAUAAGUUUUAUGAAGAAGUAUAAUUGAUAAUCAUAAUAUUAUGUAUUGAUAUACAAAUCACAUGUGCAAUAUAGGGAAAUACUGUAAAUUCAGAAAUUAUUGCAAUCAUAUAUUAUUGCAAUUUUUGACAAAUAAACAAAUAUGCAAAUUUUUUAUUGCGAUUUCAAUAAAAUCUGCAUACAGAUGAAUGUAUCCUAUAUCCAAAUGCAAGUUCUUAUUAUUGUGAUACUCACCCAGUCGUAUUAUUUGCAAUAAUACAGGCCACCCAAUAAUUUCUCCAUUUACAGUAAUGUACUGUAACUAAAGAGAAUAUUUUUGUAAAGUUACAAUGGGUUUUAUGUAAAUACUUUUUUUGAAUUUUUUUUAUGUUUAGUUACUUCAUUGUAUACAAUCUGUGAUUUUCUUCUUUCUUUUUUUUUUUUUUUUUUUAUCUGUGACUGCUUUAUUACAAAAGAUAUAAAUACUGUCUUUGCAUUACUGUUGAAUAAUGAAUUUUCAUGGGGUGACAAUUUAAAGGGUUUGUAUAAAAAAUUAGCAAUGGGGGAUAAAUUUUUGUGGCUUAGAAGUUUCAAAAUAUUAAAAGGGGUACCUGUUGAUAAGAUACUUGUUGACUUAACGUAUUAUUGAAAUUAAACCAACAAACCCUUUUCAGACAGUUUUGUGUCUUUUAAAUUUUUAUUCAAGGACAAUGAAUGCAUAAUUUAAUAGAUUUCAUCUUUCAGUAUUACUUGAAAUUGCUAGACCAUUAUCCAAUUACCUUUAAUCACUUAAAAGUACAUCAGUGGAUUAUCUUUUAUCCUUUUUAUUUAUUCAUUAGUAUACAAAGGAAUACUUAUUUUUUUUAUUUGUGUUUAUGUGUUGAUGUCUCUUGUUACUUUUCAAUGAAGAUAUGACUGACUUUAAAAUAAUCAGAAAUUUGGACUUUAUGGUUCAAUUUUCGUUUUUAAUAGUUUCUAUCCAGGAUAUACAAAACUUCCUUCUUUUAUAGUCUACAUAUUCUGCUAAAGUGCAAGAUACCUGUAUUUUAAAAUUAAGAAGAUAAACAGAUAUUAGAUUUAAAUAUUAAAUAGAAUGAAACGAUUAAAAAAAACUUAUUCAUACAGAGAUUUUGGGAAAGAUACAUGUACAUACAAAAGUAAGCCUCAAGCUGUUGACGGAUUUAAAGUUAUUCAUUAUAAAGAAUCAGGUUGAAAUGUUUAGAAUAGGAUUAAAAUUAUUUUAAAUUUUGACUGGUUUAUUAAUAUAUUUAUAAUUACACAAUAUGUAACAAAUAGCAGCUGAAUUUUCACAUGUGCUUGGUACAAUUAACUAUUUAGAAAUAAAGAAAAAGAGUUAAGGAUGAGACUACUUUUAAAGUAACAGUAAAGACGGAGAAAACAUUUAUAACUUUUGAAAAUUUUAAAUGGAGCAUGUUUUUUUUUCCCUAUGCCUUCUCAUCUCAGAAGUCAUGUCUGGUACUUGCAAAGACUAUACUUUCAUUUUACUGAAUUACAACAAAUUCAUUUGUUUAUGGAUAUUAAAAAUUAAAUGAUACCUUUUUAAUAGAUUAGUUUAUCUUAUUUUGUAACAUCUGGACAAUUUAUAAUAUAAAGUUAAUUAUAGCUUCAGUUGUUUUGUAUAAUAAAUAUUUAAAAUAUG
rnacentral:lncRNA from 1 species